GCAUUGGUUAUUCCGUGGUAGAAUUCUCGACUGCCAAGCGGGAGGCCGGGGUUCGAUUCCCGGCCAAUGCA
rnacentral:tRNA from 1 species